rnacentral:rRNA from 1 species
UAAUACGUAUGGAGCGAGCGUUGUCCGGAAUUAUUGGGCGUAAAGGGUACGCAGGCGGUUUAAUAAGUCGAAUGUUAAAGAUCGGGGCUCAACCCCGUAAAGCAUUGGAAACUGAUAAACUUGAGUAGUGGAGAGGAAAGUGGAAUUCCUAGUGUAGUGGUGAAAUACGUAGAUAUUAGGAGGAAUACCAGUAGCGAAGGCGACUUUCUGGACACAAACUGACGCUGAGGUACGAAAGCGUGGGGAGCAAACA